rnacentral:misc_RNA from 1 species
CGUCACAUUCCAAGUCACAGAAUGGUCAGAAUGUUUGCUUUUCCUCGUUCGACGAAUUUCACGAGCGUUGUUUUCACUCCGGGAAGUCGUGUAUGGAAAAAAAGGCAGCAAGGCAAGCAGCUAAGGCUUGACCGAAAGGUACUGGCGACGGUGCUUUUAAAGCUGUACCGCGUGUUUGUUUGCGGCCCGUGUUAAUUCGUCGUACAAAUAACCGGCGACGGCCCUCGGACCACGAACGAUUCGUAGCCGUUGCAAAUGAUCAGUUCCUCGCGGGCAAUACGUGUAACUGCAUUGCGUUUCACCGUUCCAUCGCGUGAUCUUUGAAAAAAGGCAAAUGAAUGCCUCUCGGUGUGCUGGGUGAAGUGAUGUCUUAAGCAGUGGAUGCUUCGUAUCGAAUACGCUAGUUGUUUGCGAUGGAUUAUCGAGUUCGUUCCGCAACGAAAAUACAUCGGAUUAUACGCAGCCAUUAUCCAUCGAAACACACUUGAAAUCGUGGAGAAGAACGAAACAAGUCAAUACGUGUGGAGGUUUACGACGUCGGGGUUGGAAAUCAACGAAGAGAACGGCCGCGUCGCAAUAGGGAGACCACUCGUGCUCGGGAGUGUCGAAUGAAUGAUACGCAAACAGUAUUGGAUCAUUUUGAAUCUGCGGGGACGAUCCACUCGCUAUGGCGUCAAUUUUCUUCCCGACGUUUGGAGAAAUCUUCUUUGAGAGUUGGCAUCUUGCGUCUUUUUUUCACGUUUCCAAGGGGGAGGAGAAGGAGGAGGAGGAGGAGGAGGAG